UACGGAGGGGGCUAGCGUUGUUCGGAAUUACUGGGCGUAAAGCGCGCGUAGGCGGACCUGCAAGUCGGGGGUGAAAGCCCGAGGCUCAACCUCGGAACUGCCUUCGAUACUGCGGGUCUCGAGUCCGGUAGGGGAGUGUGGAAUUCCUGGUGUAGCGGUGAAAUGCGCAGAUAUCAGGAGGAACACCAGUAGCGAAGGCGGCACUCUGGGCCGGUACUGACGCUGAGGAGCGAAAGCGUGGGGAGCGAACAGG
rnacentral:rRNA from 1 species